rnacentral:misc_RNA from 1 species
GAUGAAGAACGCAGCGAAAUGCGAUAAGUAAUGUGAAUUGCAGAAUUCAGUGAAUCAUCGAAUCUUUGAACGCACAUUGCGCCCGCCAGUAUUCUGGCGGGCAUGCCUGUUCGAGCGUCAUUUCAACCAUCAAGCCCCCGGCUUGUGUUGGGGACCUGCGGCUGCCGCAGGCCCUGAAAUGCAGUGGCGGGCUCGCUGUCACUCCGAGCGUAGUAGUUACAUCUCGCUCUGGGCGUGCUGCGGGUUCCGGCCGUUAAAAGCCUUAUUUACCCAAGGUUGACCUCGGAUCAGGUAGGAAGACCCGCUGAACUUAAGCAUAUAAGCGGAGGA